rnacentral:tRNA from 1 species
UAGGAUGUGGCUCAGUAGGAGAGCACUUGUCUAGCAUGCAUGAGGCCCUGGGUUUAUCCCUGUACCGUAA